CGGUGAGGUGCACCCGUGAUCAGCUCGGAAACCGGAUUGCACAGCGGAGAAGGCGCAGAAGAAGAAAACUCUGGACUUUACAGAAAGCCAUCUUGUGGUGAUAUGGGGGAGAUCCUAGCUUGCCCUAUAAACUUGGCUCAUGUGUAUGGCACCGAUGGCAACACCUACCCCAAUGAGUGUGCACUCUGUGUUCAGAGACAGUGAGUACUGUACAUACCUGGGUUAAGCAUUGUUUGAAAUCAUUUCAGAUACUUAAACUGGGCUAGGCUAUUUCCAAAACCCUGCCCAUCAGGCAUUCCGGACAAGUUGAAACACAAAAAGAAUUUGAACGAUUUCCCUGGAACACAGCUGCUCCUUUCUCACAGCCCUGUCCAACAUUGUCACUAUAAGGCUGAGAGAGUCAGUUUACAGCAACAACACUUAACAUGUCCAGUAAAACACUGAAGUACAAGGGACUGAAUUCAAUCAAACCAGUAUUUAAGGAAAAUCCACAUUCUGUAGGCUCCUACAAUGUAACGUUGUGCCCACUAAGGCGCUUCUGGAACCACGUUUCCAUCCACAGUUUAUACGAGUAAAGUCAAACCAUAUAUUUUUUUAAAUCAUUACAGCUGUGAUGGAAACAGGUAGUUUAGGUAAAAUUGUAUAAAUGCAGACAGAUAGGCCUAAUUUGUUGGCCAUGGUGGGAUCUUUUUGUGUCGUAUAAUGAAUUAUGCGAGAAAUGGUGGUGGAAACGUCUUUAAGCGUAAAUAUUGACAUAAUAACCAUAAUAUCAAAGUAAACUUGAAGUCACGCAAUGAUAUGGUGUGUGGUACUCCCACUACAAUUCGGGAAAGCAUGCAGAUUAUUAGGAUACAGAUUAAAUCAAUUAUGAACAUCACAGGAUGGUGAAAGUGCAAGAUGACCUUGAUGCUCCUUUCCAAUACCUAUCGAGGGUCUUAUUUUGGUGACAAGAUGAUCAAUGCUUGACUGCCGUUUGACAAGUAAAAUUAUUCUUGCUCUUAUCCAUAGUAAUCUCAUCAUAUAGACUAGUGUCACGCCCUGGCCUUAGUAUUUUGUGUUUUCUUUAUUAUUGUGGUUAGGCCAGGGUGUGACAUGGGUGAUUAUGUGUUUGUCUUGUCUAGGGGUUUUGUAGUUUUUGGGAUUGUGUUUAGUUAUUCUAGGUAAGUCUAUGGUU